rnacentral:lncRNA from 1 species
GAUACCAACAAUGCCAGUCUCAGGAAAGGGCUGGAGCGGAAAGAGAGCCAAAUCCUAUCACACCUUGUGUUCCAGACACUGUUUCAAAUGGGCCUGUGAAGUCAUAUCAGAAUUCCCAACAGAGACAACUUAAAGGAGAAAGAAUGCAUGGUGGCUCAUGGUUCCCAGGGAUAGCUAGCUGACCAUCAAAAAGGGGAAGGCGUGGCCGAGUCUGUGACCUGAGAGCGUGAAGCAGAGGCUGCUCCUAUGUAAGCAGAGAGCUCAGUCAGGAGCCAGAAUCUCUGCCCCAGUAACCCACUCCUGCUGGUGAGGCCACAGCCUCCAAACCAGCGCCACCAGCAGGGGCUAGGUGUUCAUACACAUGCAGCUGUGGUGAGAGUGAGGAUUAGAGAGGGGGACACCUGGCUGGCUAGCCAGAGAGAGACACAGAGACAGAACAAAGACCUACAGCUCCUGAACCUGCCUCCUUCCUACCCAGGGUCAAUUAGGCCUAGAAUUUCCUGUAGGCCUUGUCCUCAGCUGGAGGCAAUAAAUCAUGCUAUGGGUUUCUGUUGCAUAGUGGUUGUCAGUCUGACAUCUCCCACACAUUGUGCUCAUACCCACACGGGUACAAGGCCGUAUGUCUAUCUGCAUGGGAAUCCUGGGGGCACUUAGCUCUCAAGUGCAAGUGUACUUUUCGAUUAAAGUCCCUUUUCUCUGUCUCAAGGC